rnacentral:rRNA from 1 species
CUGCUUGCAGGGUACUCGAGUGGCGAACGGGUGAGUAACACGUGGGUGAUCUGCCCUGCACUUCGGGAUAAGCUUGGGAAACUGGGUCUAAUACCGGAUAGGAGCCAUCUUUAGUGUGGUGGUUGGAAAGUUUUUUCGGUGUAGGAUGAGCUCGCGGCCUAUCAGCUUGUUGGUGGGGUAAUGGCCUACCAAGGCGGCGACGGGUAGCCGGCCUGAGAGGGUGUACGGCCACAUUGGGACUGAGAUACGGCCCAGACUCCUACGGGAGGCAGCAGUGGGGAAUAUUGCACAAUGGGCGCAAGCCUGAUGCAGCGACGCCGCGUGGGGGAUGAAGGCCUUCGGGUUGUAAACUCCUUUCGCUAGGGACGAAGCUUUUUUGUGACGGUACCUAGAUAAGAAGCACCGGC